rnacentral:lncRNA from 1 species
CUCCUGCCACUACUCCCGCCACUUCUCCGUCAACUUCUCCGUCAUCCCCUCCUAACCCUCCGACUCAGUCCCCGCCUUCGCCUGCCCCAAAAACCGCUCCGACAGUUUCUCCGCCAACCCAACAAACUCCUCCAGCGGCGACACCCGCCGUCUCUCCUGCAACUCCUCCGACACCGGUUUCUCCCGCGAAGAGCCCAUCGAAAAGUGUGUCUCCCCCGGUUCAAUCUCCGCCGACUCCUCCGCCCACCGUCGCCUCUCCGGCCAACGCUCCGG